rnacentral:rRNA from 1 species
CUUAGCAGAGAUGCUUUGGUGCCUUCGGGAACUCUGAGACAGGUGCUGCAUGGCUGUCGUCAGCUCGUGUUGUGAAAUGUUGGGUUAAGUCCCGCAACGAGCGCAACCCUUAUCCUUUGUUGCCAGCGGUUAGGCCGGGAACUCAAAGGAGACUGCCAGUGAUAAACUGGAGGAAGGUGGGGAUGACGUCAAGUCAUCAUGGCCCUUACGAGUAGGGCUACACACGUGCUACAAUGGCGCAUACAAAGAGAAGCGACCUCGCGAGAGCAAGCGGACCUCAUAAAGUGCGUCGUAGUCCGGAUUGGAGUCUGCAACUCGACUCCAUGAAGUCGGAAUCGCUAGUAAUCGUGGAUCAGAAUGCCACGGUGAAUACGUUCCCGGGCCUUGUACACACCGCCCGUCACACCAUGGGAGUGGGUUGCAAAAGAAGUAGGUAGCUUAACCUUCGGGAGGGCGCUUACCACUUUGUGAUUCAUGACUGGGGUGAAGUCGUAACAAGGUAAGCGUAGUGCU